rnacentral:rRNA from 2 species
GUGCUGAAAGCAUCUAAGCACGAAACUUGCCCCGAGAUGAGUUCUCCCUGAGACUUUAAGUCUCCUGAAGGAACGUUGAAGACGACGACGUUGAUAGGUCGGGUGUGUAAGCGCAGCGAUGCGUUGAGCUAACCGAUACUAAUGAACCGUGAGGCUUAACCUUACAACGCCGAAGGUGUUU